CACGGGGGUUGCGAGCGUUGUCAGGAAUUACUAGGCGUAAAGGGCAGGCAGGCGGAUCCAUAAGUUUAUCGUUUAAGGCGUCGGCUUAACCGGCGUAGGGCGGUAGAUACUGUGGAUCUGGAAUGCGGUUGGGGAAGACAGAAUUCCUGGUGUAGCGGUGGAAUGCGCAGAGAUCAGGAGGAAUACCGAAGGCGAAGGCAGUCUUCCAAGCCGUUAUUGACGCUCAACUGCGAAGGUGUGGGUAUCAAACAGGAUUAGAUACCCGCGUAGUCCCUGA
rnacentral:rRNA from 1 species